GCAGAGCCUCUAGGGAACUGAUCUGAAUAGGUUAUGUCAUAAACCUGCUCUACCAAAGUCAAGAAAUGACAUUUAAUUCCAAGAAAUGUCAUGGGGAUCUAAAAAGAAAAGGAAAGCAAAGCAAAGACAAGAAAAAGAAAAAGAAAAAGAAAGAAAAGGAGACCAAUCUAAGUGACAGAAAAUGACCCUUGAUAAGAUGAGAAAAUGGAAGCUCAGAGACGUCACAGAAAUGGCCUGAGGUCACAGAGAUGGGAGAGAUGGAAAUCUUGCUAGGUGGACAUGGAAAUGUUCUGGGUUUUCUACGCCAGUAUAGAAGCUAGACACCUGGGAAGAGAAGCAGCUCGUACCUUUAUAUUACCUAAGACCCUGUGACUGUAUAUCCACAUGAUCCACAGGCAAAGAACAACUUCAAGUCCCACUGACAGUGACUUCCUCGAGUGUGUCCUGUAAAUCUCUGUAUCCUCAGAUUCUGGCUCAGUGCUAAUAUGUAGGGUUAGUAUGUAGCAUGAAUUCAAUAAAUAUCUAAGGGUGGGAGAGAGAAAGGGUAAUUCUGCUCAAGACCAGAGACUAUAUAAAAAAUAUUUAACUACAUGGGAGACUCAUAAAACCUAAGGGCAUUAUGUAAAUGCCUAAUGAUAUGACACAUGGUCUGAAAAUUUUUCUCUGACUUUUUGAGGCACUAAAUCAAAAUCAGUGUGUCUUGUAGAUGUCUUAUUCUUCGCCUUUAUCCCGCAGUGUAAACAAAAAGCAAUUUGGUAUUUGCAUGAGUGAAUCAAUUUUCAUUGACUAUUGUCUGGUGUAUUUACUGUGAAGGUAGGAUCCAUCUGAACACACACAAAGGCCCAUCUACAGUCAGCCUUCUGUAUUCUGUUGGUUCUACAUCUAUGGAUCUAACCAACCCCAGAUUAAAAAUAUAGGGGGAAAAUAUUCCAGAAAAAUGCCAAAUACAAAACUAGCAUUUACCAUGCCAGCAGCUAUUUAUGCAGCAAUUUACUUUGUACUAUAUAUAUAUAUAGUGAGUGUGUGUAUGUAUGUUAUCUAGAGAUUAUUUGAAGUAUACAAGAGGAUUGCAUAGGUUAUAUGCAAAUACGAUGCCAUUUUAUAUAAAGGACUUGAGCAUCAGUGGGUUUGGUAUCCAAGGGGGUCCUGGAACCAAUCCCCCUGCAUAUCAAGGGAUGACUGUGUUUAGAAACAGAAACAACCAGAAAAUGGAGCAAAGUGGAGAGGGACAUUGUCGUCUGAUGAGCUGAACAGUACUGAGGAGAAGGUAGGUAUUUUUUUGUCUAAAAUUAGUCCAGGGCAUUUUUAUAGUUCACAUUUUUUUGUCCACUUGGACUCAAUGAAGAUGUCCUUUCUAUACUCAGAAAAAAAGCACUUUUUAUUUUCCAUAAAUAUCUGCCUAAUGCAUAGUAUCCGUUGCCAUUAAGAAAAUUUGGCCAAGUAGAUUUAGGUUAGACUGAAUUCUUUGGGGGAGGAGGAGAAGACUGGAUUAUUCCAGUACUAAGGUAAUUUAAAAUCCAUAAUAAAUAAAGUAAUGAGAUUUCCAGAGAAUCACUUAAGCAGGAAAAAAAAUGGUAUGAAGUUACUAAAUCUGUAGUAGAAUAAGGGCUCUUUAAAAGUUUUCUCUCUUAAUUUAUUGAAUAAUUAUUUCAUCUAUAUUUUCUAGUAAAAAUCUAUCUUUUCUGGUUUUGUAUAAAAUCUAAAUAUUGUUUUGUUGUUUUUAUAAAGUUACUGCUGAAAUUUUAGUGUUUAGAAUCUGCAUAGCAUGGUACAUUAAAUGGAUAUUGAUCUAACAUUAGAAAUAAAAAACAAUACCCAUUAAAUUAAUCAAUAAAGAUUUAAUUCCUGAUGAACUCAGCAGCCUAAGGUGGGGUAUUUGUUUGCUUUUUCUCUUUCCAAGUAAACCAUUUCACGUUAUAGGAAAUAAUCCAACAUUUAAAAGAUUAUACUGGGGAAAAAAAAAACAGCAUUGGUGAAAGCUGCAGUUUGUAAUUGCAAAGUUAAUUAUCUUUCCUAAACCAUCAGUUGUCACUUAGAGAGACCAGAUUCUUGCAGACUCUCCAGGGAUUGCCUUUAUUUCAUUCCUAAUGGCUUGGGACCCACCGUUUUGCUGUCUCUGAACAUUUGGUCACUGAAUGCACCAUUUAUGGAGUAUUGUUUAAUUAAGGACAAAUUAAGAGAACUGUGCACAGAAUUUAAUUUCAUAGACUCUGUAAAUUCUUUUAAAGAGGAUACUAACUAUAGGCAUGAUAAGUUUUCAUUAUCCAUUGCUUCUAUAAGGUAUUGACAAUUUAUUGUUUGCAACAGUUCCAAGUUUUGUUUACUCUUCAGGGGAUUUUGUUGGCACUGUACUUUUUGUGCUUCACAGAAAUCCUAUGGAGGCAUCAGACUCCUCAUUAACCCCUUCGGUUCUGAAUCCACCCAUAUGCAGAAGACCACAUACUUGAAAGACUGCAUUUAACUUUUGUAAAGACUAGAGAUUUACGGCAAGGGUCAAAUAAAAACUGACAUCAUUUGAAUAUGUGCUUAAUGUUCUAGAUCUUGGGAUAUAAAAUAUCUCAAGUGGAUAGUCAUUCAUUCAUUCUUUCAUUUGACAAAUAUUUAUUGAGUGCCUGCUAUGCACCAGGAAAUAGUGUAGUGGAGAAUGCACCAUUUACUAAGAAGUAGAGGAGUUCUGAAAUAUUUUGGUUUUAAAAUUUUGAGAAUAAAUUUUACCAGUAUCCCCACUGCAUCCUCUGAGAAGUCAAGUACAAACAAUAAGUUUUUUUCUUUUUUUCCCCUUUUUUGGCCAUUCCAUGGCAUAUGGAGUUCCCAGGCCAGAGAUCAGAUCCAAGUCAUGGUUGUGACUCAUGGUGCGGCUGGAGCAAUGUGGGAUCUUAAACCCAGUGUGCUGGGCAGAGGAUUAAACAUGCAUCCCAGUGCUCCAGAGACACCGCCAGUUCCACUGCACCACACUGGAAACUCCUAAGGUUUUCUACUAGCACUUUGAUAGUGUAAUUUUUUAUUUGAUAUAAAGUGAAAUCUUAGCCAUCUUAUUGUCCAAAUUCCCAUAUGUUCCUAAUGAGUAAUCUGAGUCACAGAGAUGUUCUUUUACUCGUCCAAGUUUGUCCAACACAUUAGCAUCACUUACCAGAUACUUCAAUCCUCAGAAAUAAAAUUAUUAAAAAAUAAGUUUAAUUAUAAUAAUAAUUAGAACUCUCUCUAAUGUUAGUAUUUGCAUGUAGCAGAAGUUCAACCCACACUCUACUAAGCUAAGUGGAAUUUAUUUUAAGGGUAUAAAAGCUUCAGAACAAACUGACCCCAGGAAUCUGAUCAUCAGGGUUCUUUGCAAUCUUAUAGCUGUGCUCCUUUGGACAGCUCCUUCAUUCUUUCCUUCCUUUGCAGAUAUUUUAAUUUUUUUCUCCGGUCUAUUUGAAAAACAUGGCUGCCAAUAGUUUCUAGAUUUACAAGUUAUAUUUUAGCAACUCAGAGGCACAUUCUCUCUUUCUGUUCCAAAAUUCCCAGGAAGACACUCAUUGGAAAAACGCGAGAGCGGAUAUCUUCCUGAAUCAAUCCAUUACAGCUACUCAGGAAAGAUGUCUUGAGGGCACUGUGAUUAACUCUAUGUCAGAGGCUCAGCUGUGUAUCAGCCAGCUAAUAGGGGGGUUGUUCACUGAGAAAGUACGGGGUGAGUAGGGCAGGAGUAGGGGAAGUGGGGGGGACCUAUGUGUAUUACUUUCUAAUCUGGGUGCUCCUACUAAAGUCAUAGGAGUUUUAGUCUAAAAAUUGAAGACAACUCAAACACCCUUCAACAAUAAAAUGGCUAAAUAGAUUGUGAUGCCUUUAUGUAAUAGUAUACUAUACAGUAAAAGAAAACUAAUGAUGAGUUUCCUAGUGGCCUAGUAGUUAAGGAUCUGGGUUCAAUCCCUGGCCCAGGAACUUCUGCAUGCCACGGGCAUGGCAAAAACAAAGAAAAUUAAUAAAUUGCAGGCACACAAAAUCAUGUGUAUAAGUUUCACAGAGGUAAUUCAUAUACAUGGUCUUUUGGCUAUGAAAAAAAUACACAGGGGGGAAAUGUUAUACUAUAUUAUUCUUUUUAAAUAAAAUUUUAAAAAUAGACAAAGCUAGUGUUUAGUACUUCAUACUUAAGCAGUGAAACUAUUAAUAAAAGCAAGAAAAAACCUUUGAAAAUUCAGGAUUAUCUAUCGGUGGGAUGACGAAAUGAUUAUUGAGAGGGCCCAUGAGAAGAGUUUUGGGGAGCUGGCAAUGUUGUAUUUUUUGAACUUGAGGGACUAACACGGAUAUUCAUUUUGUGAGAAUUCACUGAGCUAUGUACUUAUGUUCUGUGCACUUUUUAUGAGGGAAUUAUGAUUCAUAAUAUACAAUAAACCAAUUUUUCUAACAAGGA
rnacentral:lncRNA from 1 species